rnacentral:lncRNA from 1 species
AUGCCCGCGCCCCCAGCCCACCGCCCCCGAACUGGGCGCCGGGGCGCGCGGCUCCGGGCGGGGGCAGGGCCCGCGCGCCGACUCGGCUCGGCCCUCCUCGGAGAAGGCGCUGCUGUGGCCGGUCCCCGUCAGGAAGCCGCGAGCGUCACAAACUGCGUCAGCUUCUUCAAACACAUUUCAUGGUCUCUCUCCAGCCAGGGAGCCGGCGGCGCCCGCGGCGGGGCCGCGGCCGGGGCUGGAAGGAGCCCCUCCGGGGAGGAGAAAGUUCCUCGGGGCCCUCCCCUCGCCCGCCCCGCGCCCAGCCCCGCCGCGCCUCCAGCCCCUCUCCGCGCGCCGCCCGGCAGCCCGCCCCAAUGUCAGCCUGGGCAACUUGGGACCCCCGGGCGCCGCGCCGCGCCUCCCGCCCGCCCCGCUCGCCCGGCGCCGGGGGCCUCCGCCCGGCCCGGCGGAAAACAGCGACGCCAGAAACUUCCCCGGCCGCGCCGGGCGGGGACGCCGCCCGGGUGCCGGCGCAUCGCCCUUACCUUGCUUUCGGGAGGCCAGGCGCCGGGCGGGUCGCGCGGGGCGCGUGGUGCGCGAGCGCGCGCGCGUGGGGCGAAAUCCAGAGCAGAAAGUCAGAAGUUGGAGAAACGAUUGAAGAAACUAUUCAGCCAUGACAUUUUGUGGUCAAUAAAGGCUGUAUGGAUGAUCCUUGGAACGCAGGUAAUGCGUGGAUAGAGACAGAGAGGCUGAGAACUCCCAAGAUGAAACAGGUGAGGUAAUGGACUAUCUUCCUCUGGAAGCUGGCAAUGAUGCCAAGAAAGAGAAAUGGAUGGAUAUUAAUGAUAAACUGAAGAUUUAUGCCAGUCACUCCCAAUUUAUUCAAGUUGUGGCUGAGAAAUGAGGUGUCCACUGGAGUGAAGACCCAUACCUCGAUUGCCAUGGGUGGUGGCUGGGAGUCUUAUGUAAGCCAAAGGCCUGCAAAUGAACAGAGGUAGGUAAGAAGCAAACAGCCCAGAAUUCCCACUGAACAGGACAGGGAGGGUUACUUCUUUUGGUGAUUAUUUUCAAAACUGUUCACAAUGUGAAGAAUUUGUAUCAGGGAAUAAUAUUAGACAAAUAUGGGGGAACAGAAUCAUAAACUUUUUGGCUUUCUAAUUGGAAGAAGAGGAAUAUAGUCACAUUGUAUAUGCUGUAUACAUGUCUUCAACCAAAUUAUAAAACUAAUGCUCUUUGAAUAAUAGCUGGUAAAGCAAGAUAACUUCUUACCAACCAUAGCCUCUAUUUUUCAGCCAGCUUGCAUUAGUCAAUUCUUUCUUUCUCCCAAUGUGUUAGAUUGUGAUCUUAUUUAAUGUCUAAUCUGAUUUUUUGGAUAGCAUUUGUUUUUCAAAUUUAGCUUUAUGUGGUGGUUUUGUAUUCGUUUCUUUCAAGUACGAAGCUCUCUUGUUAUUCUUGUUUUUAGAACCUUCAGUUUUAUGGGAAAAGUUCCAUCUCUAUUUUAGUCCAUAAGGAUCAAGUACACAUGAACUAGAAAAAAAAUGCAGUGACAAAAUGAGCUUAAUAUCCAGCCCUUUGGUUAUCAGAACUGUUUCUCUCUGAACAGAAUGGACUAAACUCAGGACAUUCGUGUCCUCUCAUCUCAGAAGAUGAGACCCUCGUCUCAGAAGACCUCAGAAGACAAAUGCGAAUUCCUGUCAUGAAGAAGUCUUUCUCAGGAGAUGUAUGUAAUCUCUAAUAAAAAUACAAUUCACACCUACCUUUUCUCA